rnacentral:rRNA from 1 species
UGGAUCCAGACUUUGAUUAUGGCUCAGGAUGAACGCUGGCGGCGUGCUUAACACAUGCAAGUCGAACGGGGAUGUUAUGCGUGAGGAAUCAGCUUGCUGAUGACAAACAAAUAACAUCUUAGUGGCGGACGGGUGAGUAACGCGUGGGCAACCUGCCUUAUACCGGGGGAUAACACUUAGAAAUAGGUGCUAAUACCGCAUAAGCGCACGGCAUCGCAUGAUGCAGUGUGAAAAACUCCGGUGGUAUAAGAUGGACCCGCGUCUGAUUAGCUAGUUGGCGGGGUAAAGGCCCACCAAGGCAGCGAUCAGUAGCCGGCCUGAGAGGGUGGACGGCCACAUUGGGACUGAGACACGGCCCAAACUCCUACGGGAGGCAGCAGUGGGGAAUAUUGCACAAUGGGGGAAACCCUGAUGCAGCGACGCCGCGUGAGUGAAGAAGUAUUUCGGUAUGUAAAGCUCUAUCAGCAGGGAAGAAAAGAAGACGGUACCUGACUAAGAAGCCCCGGCUAACUACGUGCCAGCAGCCGCGGUAAUACGUAGGGGGCAAGCGUUAUCCGGAUUUACUGGGUGUAAAGGGAGCGUAGACGGUGAAGCAAGUCUGGAGUGAAAGGCCGGGGCUCAACCCCGGGACUGCUUUGGAAACUGUUUGACUGGAGUACAGGAGAGGUAAGUGGAAUUCCUAGUGUAGCGGUGAAAUGCGUAGAUAUUAGGAGGAACACCAGUGGCGAAGGCGGCUUACUGGACUGUAACUGACGUUGAGGCUCGAAAGCGUGGGGAGCAAACAGGAUUAGAUACCGUGGUAGUCCACGCCGUAAACGAUGAUUACUAGGUGUCGGGGAGUAAUAACUCUCCGGUGCCGCAGCCAACGCAAUAA